CUACAAAGGCCGGACUCCGAACUUCUACCGCAAGCGAUCUACCCCGAGCUCCCAUUGUGGAUGCAUUCCUUCCGAAUUUCUAUCACCGACAGGCUUCGACCGAACCCCUCGACAAAUGAUCCCCAUCCGGGCUUUUACGGAGAUCGGACUCCGACCGAACUCCUAUAGCGGACAAACAUCGGGUUCACGAAAUCCAGCGGCUGGACCCCUCCAGCAGAUGAACCUCUCCAGCACCAUCUGACAUCCACCGUCGGUCGACCCUCUGUCGAAUUCUGUGCAAAAUCGGAUUGCGUCUGCAGAAAGUCUCUGGCCAAGCUCCUACGGC
rnacentral:lncRNA from 1 species